CCCUUUCCCUUCUCGUCGACGGAAGUGAGUGUUCCUAAGGCGGGAAAAGGGAAGAAUAAUAUUCUAAAGGUCUUUAAACUUAGAAUUGUGUAAAGAAUAGUUCUUUCUUUCGAAGCGAGCCCCAUACCUACUACGGCCAGGAAUUGAUGCACAGAAUCCGCAUUGAAGGAAUUACCGGCUUUCCUAAGCUUGGCACAGAUGUAAUGUAAUAAGCUCUUUUCCCAGCGAUAAAGAGAAAGAUAAUGUGCAUUUUUCUUACUGACUCUUAUCUAGUGCGCCUAGGACUAAUUCCACUCACGGCAUUAGAGGUCUUACCCGCUACCCUUUCAAAAAACUUUGUGGGAUCACACCCGUCAAUCUCCGAUGAAUCAAGUAAGGGGGGUAGAAUCCGCUGCUUGUAUGGAUGGUAUCGAAUCAGCUGUAGGAGGAAUAUCCGCUGUGGGACUUCACAAGCUCAUGCCAUAAAAAGUAAGCUCUUUCGGAAGAGAAGGAGUUGCAUAUAUUAUAUAAAGGCUGUUAGCAAGUCAAUUCCUUUACCUAGGGAGAAGGGCCAUUUCGCCUAGUAGGAGUACUAGUCUUAGCAUGUUAGCAAUUUGAAUUGGACAGCUUUCGCUUUCUAUCUAAGCUGGAAUGUAGCCUUUCACUAAUAGACAUCGUACAUCUUAGCUAGGGAAGCUUCUUUGUCUAGCUAAUCUUCGGGACUGUAAGCAAAGGAUGUCACUAUAGCUAACCUUCCCAAGUAACAGUACCUAAUUUGACCAAUUUUGAUUUUAUAAGAAAACAAGGCGUUCCUCGACUAGCCUAUUCCCAAUUCCCAAGCCAACCAAACCAGGGAAGCUAGGUCCAACCAUUACCCUUUUCGAGCAGCUCUUUCAACUGCCAAUCAAUCCCCAGAAUAAAGCCAAGGUAGGGAAGGGAUCGGAUGGCCUGACUGGCUCAACUAAUUAGUAGAGGAGGUUGCUUUAGCAACUCGACCACUCGGAAGAGGAACGAAGGUACUCAGCCUCCUGGGGCAAGUGGGAGCGACACACUGAAUGAACCAACUCCAAUGGAGCAGGAUCAAGAAGAAGUGAAGCUACGUAAAAGUGAGCGUGGUAGAAUCUCUCGUCGUCGAUUUGAGAUUGAGGGAGAUCCGGGGAAUCUUAUUCUGUCACCCAAAACGACCACUCCUUCUGUCGGAAAAAGGACUUGCCCUAUAUUGAAAUGAAAUCGAAACGAAUGGAACGCGACAGAGCACUCCCUAUCAUCAGGUAGUGCGCGCCAUUCAGAACUAUGAUAUCGUCUUCUAGUCUAUUCGGCAGGUCCAAGUUGUUUUGGUCUUAUAAGCUCAGGUUCUUGAGUUUUGGGAAUUUCCUUCCAUUGGCUGGUUCAAAUUCAAUACGGAUGGUGCUUCCAAGAGGAACCUUUUCUUGCAUGGUGCUGCAACGGGACAUUCUGGUAAGUCGGGUGCUGGUGGCCUUCUCCGAGACUGUUCAGGAACAUGGAUCUAUGGGUAUACCUGCAAAAUAGCUUUCUCUACGAGCCUACAAGCUUCACUUUGGUUUAGCUUCCAACUAAGGCUAAGGGAGUUGUUUCCCCGGGAUUGAGUGAACGGGUUCCUCCUCCACCCGUACCACAAAAGCGCUAAUUUAUAUCAAAAAGACCGGGAAAACGUGAAUCUAUCCCGAACAUUUCCUAAAAUACUGGAUAAACUGACUCAGAUCGGUCUCCCUCAAUCGAGAGGCUCGCUUGCUUCACUUCAACUUCAUAGAAGAGGGAAGGAUCUAUACACUAAUAGGCGGCCUACUGGCGUACCUCGAAGUACUCCGGUAUAUACACCAGGGCAACUUUGAAAGACAAGUUAGCAACCGUACUGCUGGUAUGAAUUGAGUAUUGCAGACUAGUGCUAAGCCCAUAGCAACAAGACUGCUAUUAUCAGAUAGCUAGGACUUAUUAUACAGCUCUUUAACACAAGGGAACGUAUGGGGAUAUCUCAAGAGAAAGUUUCUAGUUCUGACUUUCUGCCUUAAAAGCAGAUUCAAAGAGACAAGAUCCAAAUCCUUCAGCCUAUUCACAGCGGAUGAAGUAAUAAUAGUUUUGUACAAUUAGAACUUCAUACCUUUUUCUUGCUUUCUUGUUCUUAAGCCAGUUACAUACUUUAUUAGCCCGAGGGGUUCCUCCUUUUAGUCGAGUAUGUAAACAACCUGAAACUAAUGCUUUUUUCCCUUUCUAGCUUUCCACCAUUAAGACUUGUUGACUUCCUACGCUAUUCGAUUCGCUGGCAUGUCCGGUCUCAUACGAAGGAAAGGUUGAAUGGUCAGUCACUCAUGAAUUCCUUCUCUAAUCACUACUGGAAUAUAGCUUAUAGAAAGAGCAGCUUGAAGGAAGUGGCAAUGCUAGAAGGGCAUUUCUUUCCCGCCUACUUGAGUAGCGCGUUGGAUCUAUGCUUAGGCAGCUUAAUCGCGACUUCAUAUACGUUGCCAUGUCUGUAUCCGACCAAAGACCUUCCUGAUGUUCUUAAUAGGCAUUCUGAGAAUAGGUUGCUGGCGUAGCUUCUGUUCCUAUGGUUGAAUGUGUAGGGAUGGAGUACCUGCCGGGGAAGCCUGUCGUAGACGGCUGGCAGGUACGACUGAGUGGCUAGCCGGGCUGCUUCUUCUGCGCAUUACUCAAGAUUCUUCCUGAAUCAACGAGUAGCCAUCAGCUGAGAAAGAUUGAUACCAAGUCGGAGCGUAUCCCGUUCGAGGGUCCACCUAUUCGGUGUCCAGUACGAGAGUCAAUUCCCGGGAAAGCUCAAUAACUGUAUUUUAGAGUACAAGUCAGACGAUGCAAACGCAACGCUAUACCUAGAGUUUGAUCUAAAGUCAAGCUACCAUCCGAUUUCAAACCGUGAGUACUCUGUUUCACUCUCAUUCCGCCUUUGACUGAGCUUUCGGGUUCCUCUUUGCCCACGGAUUGCCAUUUAGAUUAUGCCAUUUUUCCGGUCUUUCAUGCCCGGGAAAAUGAACAGUUGCACUUUUCUGUCAUAUCGGAUAUAUUCAAAAACUCUCCUCUUUGUCUACGCUCGUUCCUGCCUUAUGUGAAGCUCCCCCUGUUCUGGAGAAAAGGGGAUAGGAAGCCAAUAGGGCAGGCAAGAGUGGCAUAGGUCGCCAUAACCAUCCAGCUCAAGGAAUAUCACAUAGAAUAGCUAAGGUGCGAGU
rnacentral:rRNA from 1 species